CCCCUAGAUGUUCUGGGCCGCACGCGCGCUACACUGAACAGUUCAACAAGUCUUAACCUUGGCCGAUAGGUCUGGGUAAUCUUUGAACGCUGUUCGUGAUGGGGAUAGAUCUUUGGAAUUAUUGAUCUUGAACGAGGAAUGCCUAGUAAUCGUAGGUCAUCAGCCUGCGAUGAUUACGUCCCUGCCCUUUGUACACACCGCCCGUCGCUCCUACCGAUUUCGAGUGGUUCGGUGAACCUUUCGGACCGGCAAUGCCUCGUGUUGCGCCGGAAAGUCAAGUAAACCAUAUCACUUAGAGGAAGGAGAAGUCGUAACA
rnacentral:rRNA from 1 species